AUGCAAAUUAGUGUCCAAAACAAGGGCAAAAGUGUUUGGAAAAGUAGAUACGUUGGAGACGUAUCAACUCCCCCAAGCUUAAACCUUUGCUUGUCCUCAAGCAAUUCAGUUGACAAACUAAAAGUGAUAAAGAAAAACUUUUACGAACUCUGUUUGAUCUUGUUGCAAAUAUGUAAAGCCAAUAUUCAAGUUUUCAGGAAAGAUUAUGAACUAACCAUAUUCACAAUAACUUUUAGGUCUCAUGUUUACUCAUAUCAAUGGCAUAAUCAACUAGCGAGCAAUAAUAAUAAAUCUCGGAUGACAACACUUUCUCAAAACAAUUAUAAUAUGAUAUAA
rnacentral:rRNA from 1 species